CGGGUAAUAGUUCAGUGGUAGAGCACAUGCUUAGCACGCACAAGGUCCUGGGUUCAAUCCCCAGUACCUCUA
rnacentral:tRNA from 1 species